CUCGUAUUCCCUGAUGAGAAUCCGGUUCCGAGGUCCGGGCUAAAAGUGAGGAAGGCAGGAAUGCAGGGCUUCAGCAGCAGGCAUAAGAGUCACCAGGUUUGCUGAGCAGCUCGCCAGUUGCCAUGAUAUGGGUCUUCGAGGUCCAGAUCGUGGAAGAUUCUGUGAGAGGCAGAGGGGAGGCAUUGGAGGAGGGCAGCAGCACCUGCAGACCCCAGUGAAACCAGUGGAAAACCACCUGGUGAGGGAGACUGACGCUCUGGCUGUGGAAACGCUGCCGGCAGGACCCGUAUGAGCUGGUGAGCUGGACAUGGGGCUGAGGCCGCAGAGGCCCAGGGCAGCGGUGACAGCUCUGGGCAGAAGUGGCCGUCGGGAAGACCAACCACACAGACAGUGGGACAAGCUUCGGGAUAAAGACAGGAAUUUACUUAGCUCCUUUUGGCCUAUUUCUAAGUCUUUGAGGAAGACAACAGACAUGUGGGAGGAGAAGAGGUCUGUGAAUGAGAUACAAAAAUCCUCUGUGAGUGAGGGGAAGUGGCGUGGAGGCUGGUGAGUACCAUCACAGGGGGUAGGAAAAGAACAGCGGGAUUGCCUUGCGGAAGGAGGAGAUGCAGAAGGAAAGAGAGAAAGGUGAUUUUCUGGACAGAAGGAAGUCCCAGCCCCUUCAUUGCAGAUCUCAAGAUGUCAGAAAUAAAACUUCUGGCUGAAGGAUGACCAAAUUGUGAACCUCAGACAGUUGGUGCAAGACCUGUGAAAAAUGAGGCUUACGCCCCCUUCUUUUGGGUAUUGAUUUAAAGAGGAAUGAGAGUUGGACCAUGAGGAAGACUGAGCACGGAAGAAUUGAUGUUUUCAAACUGUGGUGCUGGAGAAACCUCUUGAGAGUCCCUUGGGCAGCAAGAAGAUCAAACCAGUCAAUCCUAAAGGAAAUCAACCCUGAAUAUCCAUUGGAAGGACUGAUGCUGAAGCUGAAGCUCUAAUACUUUGGGUACCUGAGUCGAAGAGCUGACUCACUGAAAAAGACCCUGAUGCUGGGAAAGAUUGAGGUCACCAGGAGAAGGGGAUGACAGAGGAUGAGAUGGUCAGAUGGCAUCACCGACUCAAUGGACAUGAGUUUGAGCAAACUCUGAGAAGGAUAGGAAAGCCUGGCAUGCUGCAGUCCUGGGGUCGCAAAGAGUUGGACACAACUGAGCAACUGAACAACAAUGAACCUUUAUGAGCUGCGACUUAGUCUCCUAAGAGUCUUUUUUAUUUUUUUCCAUGGUACCAUUUUCAGUGGCUACUAACCUAGUCCUUCUCUGACCUACAACUUUCUCUGAUUUUGGGCAUUAGAAUAGCUUCCCUGGGGGAAAAAAAAAAUUCUUGUCUGCUGUUUUGAAAUGUGGUGGGACACACAGUGGUUGCUGCCUUUAGAGGAAUCAGUUCCACCCUGCAUGUCUGUAAUUAUUGAGUAAGAGCCAUGGAGGAGCCAAGCCCUUGCACCGAGCCCUCAAUGGAGUUGUCAUGCCAUGCCUGAUUGAAGUCCCUGGAGGACAAGAAGCCAGGGGAUAAGAAGUCAAAAGUCAAGUUCUCCAGGCAACAGUCAGAUAAGGCAGCUUGUGUGCACUGUUUUCUUGGGAAGGAAGUGAAGGAAGCAGGAUUGGGUAGGAGACCACAGGGAAUACGACCUGGGAUGCAGUUCCUGUGGGUCCCAGGGGAGCUCUGAAGCUGAGGUGACUCUUCAGAGAGGUCCAAGGCUGAGCUGACAGGGCUGGGCCUUUGCAUCCCACACUGAACAGUGAUUGGAUGGAGGCUGUCCUUGGGGAGGAGCCACCUAGGGAGACAAGACAGCACCCCUUCCCUGCCCUUCCCCACCCCCGCUGCCCCUGCAGUGGAAGCAUGGCAUUUUAACCACUGGACUGCCAGGAAAGUCCUCAACCUCAUUUCAUAAAUGGAGGAACUGAGGCCAAAAAAGGAGGACUAAUUUACUCCAGGCAGUAAAGUACAGUCAUGGCAGAGCUAGAACGGGAACCCUGGUCUUCUAACUUCCAACACCCAUCUUUUUCCACUGUCUAUACCUGCUGCCUCUGCCUCCAUUUUAUUCUCACCGUGGCCCUAAAGCACAGGCAGGAAACGUAUCAGAUGUGAUAAACAGAUAAUGUGACAGCAAAAGUCACAAAGCCACAAAGCAGAAGUAUUCCAAUCCAAGUUGGCUUGAGGACAAAAAGGGUGUUGUGUCAACCACACCACGCUGGGGGCCACUCCCAAGGGUCCCACCUCUAGUCAGUUCAGCUCAAUGAUCAUUUACUGAGCAUCUGGACACUGUGCUAGGCGCUGGUGAUACAAAGAUUGGACACUGUAUCAACUUUCAGUGAGCUCACCUACUUAAAUAGAAAAAAAAAAACCAGAAAAGUAUAGAUCAGUUCAGUGUUGCUCUGUAAACAUUCUGAUAGAACUAAACAAUGCCAUUAGGGUACGAAGGAGAACCCCCAACUCAGCCUGAGGGCUUCCUGGAGGAGGCAAAUGUGUUUACAUUUGAACAAGAGCCCCUCAUUCUCCUUGCACACCCUCACCUGAUCUUCCCUAGCUGGGGGUAGGGGAGUGGCUCCAUCAUCCACUUAGUGCCUGGAGCUGGGCACAUAGAAGAGGGGGCCAAGGCCACACUUUCCUCCUUCACCCCACCUCCAGCAACCCACCUGUCCCUGGGGAGUCACUAGGCUUCCUCACCUCUCCCCUAGUCCCAUCUCUGCCUUGGUUUUAAUGUCAUGACUUCUUAAGUGGAUGUGUAAAACCACCUCCUGCCUGGCUCUCUGCCUCAUUCUGUUCCCUGCCCUUUCUGCCUGUGCCAUCUUUCUAUUGGGCAAAUAUGCCUCUGCUUUUCCCUGUUACAAAUCCUCCUAUGACUUCACACAGCUUUUUCCUGGUAUGAAGGUCUUGAUACUUCUAUGGCUUUCCACGUGCCUGGAAAAGCAGGCAUUAGUUGAAUCCUCUUCUUUACCUUGCAAACGUCUACUCUUUCUUUAAAACUUAGCUCAGACACCCAUCUCCUCCAGGAAGCCUUCCCUGAUGUCCUGCUCUGAUGGACAUAUCCCCACUGCACACUGUGAGCCCUUACCACACAGUUCUGUACUCAGUGCUCCAGCUGAAUGUCUUUCUCACUAAGCUGUAAGCUCCUAGAAGGGAAGAGUCUAUUUGCUCUGAAUUCCAAGCACCUGGCACAUGGAAGCCAUCUAGUAAUUGAGAGAGGCAAUUUCAGGUAGCAGAAAUAGGUUGCGUAAUGGCAUGAUGGGGUGCAACAACGGUGCAUUGGGGGGUUCUGAAUGGCAGAAAGUAUCGUGACAAUGUAAAGAGGGGACAUCAUACUUCCCCUGAAAAGGAUCAGUUCAGUUCAGUUCAGUCGAUCAGUCGUGUCCGACUCUUUGCGACCCCAUGAAUCAUAGCACGCCAGGCCUCUCUGUCCAUCACCAACUCUCGGAGUUCACUCAGACUCACGUCCAUCGAGUCAGUGAUGCCAUCCAGCCAUCUCAUCCUCUG
ensembl:lncRNA